UAAGACAGAGGAGCCAAGCGUUGUCCGGAUUGACUGGGCGUAAAGCGCACGCAGGUGGUUGCGGGCGUCGGUGCUGAAAGUUCGCCGCUUAACGGCGAAUCGUGUGCCGAUACGCCGCAACUCGAGCCCGUGAGAGGUCCGUGGAAUUGCCGGUGUAGUGGUGACAUGCGUAGAUAUCGGCAGGAACACCCAAGGGGAAGCCAGCGGACUGGCACGGUGCUGACACUGAGGUGCGAAAGCGUGGGGAGCGAACCGGAUUAGAUACCCGGGUAGUCCACGCCGUAAACGAUGAAUACUCGCCCUAUGAUGGUGUUAAAGCCGUUGUGGGGUCAAGCUAACGCGAUAAGUAUUCCGCCUGGGAACUACGAGCGCAAGCUUA
rnacentral:rRNA from 1 species